CCUACGGGAGGCAGCAGUAGGGAAUAUUGCUCAAUGGGGGAAACCCUGAAGCAGCAACGCCGCGUGGAGGAUGAAGGUUUUCGGAUUGUAAACUCCUUUUGUUAGAGAAGAUAAUGACGGUAUCUAACGAAUAAGCACCGGCUAACUCCGUGCCAGCAGCCGCGGUAAUACGGAGGGUGCAAGCGUUACUCGGAAUCACUGGGCGUAAAGGGCGCGUAGGCGGGAUAGCAAGUCAGAUGUGAAAUCCUAUGGCUUAACCAUAGAACUGCAUGUGAAACUGUUAUUCUAGAGUAUGGGAGAGGUAGGUGGAAUUCUUGGUGUAGGGGUAAAAUCCGUAGAGAUCAAGAAGAAUACUCAUUGCGAAGGCGACCUGCUAGAACAUAACUGACGCUGAUGCGCGAAAGCGUGGGGAGCAAACAGGAUUAGAUACCCCAGUAGUC
rnacentral:rRNA from 1 species